rnacentral:rRNA from 1 species
UGGGGAAUAUUGGACAAUGGGCGCAAGCCUGAUCCAGCAAUGCCGCGUGUGUGAAGAAGGCCUUCGGGUUGUAAAGCACUUUUAUCAGGAGCGAAACGCUGUCGGCUAAUACCCGGCGGAACUGACGGUACCUGAGGAAUAAGCACCGGCUAACUUCGUGCCAGCAGCCGCGGUAAUACGAAGGGUGCAAGCGUUAAUCGGAAUUACUGGGCGUAAAGCGUGCGUAGGCGGUUUCUUAAGUCUGCUGUGAAAUCCCCGGGCUCAACCUGGGAAUGGCAGUGGAUACUGGGAGGCUAGAGUGUGUCAGAGGGUGGUGGAAUUCCCGGUGUAGCGGUGAAAUGCGUAGAGAUCGGGAGGAACAUCAGUGGCGAAGGCGGCCACCUGGGACAACACUGACGCUGAGGCACGAAAGCGUGGGGAGCAAACAGGAUUAGAUACCCUGGUAGUCCACGCCCUAAAGCGAUGCGAACUGGAUGUUGGUCUCAACUCGGAGAUCAGUGUCGAAGCUAACGCGUUAAGUUCGCCGCCUGGGGAGUACGGUCGCAAGA